rnacentral:rRNA from 1 species
UACGGAGGGUGCAAACGUUGCUCGGAAUCAUUGGGCGUAAAGCGCACGUAGGCGGCCUGACAAGUCGGGUGUGAAAGCCCUGGGCUCAACCCAGGAAGUGCACUCGAAACUGCCAGGCUUGAAUAUGGAAGAGGGUCGCGGAAUUCCCGGUGUAGAGGUGAAAUUCGUAGAUAUCGGGAGGAACACCAGUGGCGAAGGCGGCGACCUGGGCCAAUGAUUGACGCUGAGGCGCGAAGGCGUGGGGAGCGAACGGG